AUUGAACGCUGGCGGCAGGCCUAACACAUGCAAGUCGAACGGUAACAGGAAGAAGCUUGCUUCUUUGCUGACGAGUGGCGGACGGGUGAGUAAUGUCUGGGAAACUGCCUGAUGGAGGGGGAUAACUACUGGAAACGGUAGCUAAUACCGCAUAACGUCGCAAGACCAAAGAGGGGGACCUUCGGGCCGCUUGCCAUCGGAUGUGCCCAGGCGGGAUUAGCUAGUAGGUGGGGUAACGGCUAACCUAGGCGACGAUCCCUAGCUGGUCUGAGAGGGUGAACCGCCCCACUGGAACUGAGACACGGUCCAGACUCCUACGGGAGGCCGCCGUUGGGAAUAUUUCCCCAUGGGCGGAAGCCUUAAGGAGCCCCGCCGCGUGGGUGAAGGAGGGCUUCGGGUUUUAAAAGUCCUUUCUGCGGGAAGAACGGAUGUAAAGUUAAUACCUCACCUCUUUACGUUACCCCGCCAAAAAGCCACCGCUAACCUCGUG
rnacentral:rRNA from 1 species